UCGGACGUCCGUGUGUUAUAUAUUGAGCAGGCGAGGGUGAAAGCGAUAGGGGCAACGCGUUGCUUGCCCUUGGGUCGCUUUUGGUAGGUUUUAUCGCUGGAUGACGCCGUACCAGCAAAUUCUUCCAAUGAACGAAUGAAGGCAACAAUUUCUUUUUUCUCAAUAUCUCUUGAUUAUGAAUGAGGAAAGAAGCCCUGUGAAAGAAGCCUUUCCCCUUAAGAGGAGAAAGAGUCUGGAUUCUGGACGGCCAAGAUUAAGCAAUGACUGUAUCCAUCCCUCGAUCUCCACAGCAGCUGUUCACAGCAGUAAGGAUGACAGUCAAGAGAAAAAGAGGAAAGUGAAUUCAGAUGUGGUACCAUUGAUUUUGUCAGAAAUGCUGAAGAUUUGGUGCCACUUCCAAUCAUGGAACCUCAUGACGACAACGAAGCACAACAAAGCCUCCAGGAUCUGUACUUCUCCAGAAUCGGGAGAGGGGCAGGGAAGAUUGACAGACCCCUCUCACCCGGGCCACGGCUUUAUUGAACGUCUCCCAUUCAGCAGGCGCUUCAGAUCGCUGUGCCGAAACAACCAGAUACAAAAAAUGGUUUCUUUCCCCAUGCUGUUACGUCCAUGAAUAGCUGAUAUUAUUGCACAAAAAAAUCCCUCUCACUUAUUCCCUUCCUUGUCAUUUUUGAGCCCUCCUCAUUUAUUCCAUCCCAUGUUAUUUUCCAGUAGUGUCAAUGCACCUUUGCACAGGUUGUAUGUCUUGUUUACUCUCAGCUAUGAGCCGUUGUAAACUGAAACCCAAUUGCUUGUGUGUGUGUCCAUAUUGGCCCAAAUAAAUUGGAUUCUAAGUGCAAGAGCGAUGAUUCAAAGUGUACGGUGGUGGUAAUAAAGAAUAAGCUAUGACCCAACUGAAAGUGUUGUUUUUAAUCACAAAAUGAAAGAACUUAAGAAGAAAAACUGAAGCUUUAACAACAAAGGAGGGAAAAGAAGAGAAGAACUCGAUUCAUUUUCCAAAUUCUAAAUUGUUUCCUCCACCGAUUGUCGUGCAGCUCUGCAGCAUAAAGACGGUUGAAGACCAAUUAUUCUGGAUGGGUGACAGUUAAGGAGCUCCUCGCCAGUGUGCAUUAGUCCCAGAGUGGAGGAGUUGACACGUGAGCAGUAGAGGACGUGAACAAUGACAGGAAGCUAAGAUCUCACCAAGUUAUCUACCGCAGCUGAACCGGAGAAGAUCGGAGAGGAUCACCAUUGCAGGACCAAGACCUGAACACCCUUCGCUGGUACUCUGGCAGUAACUCAUUGUGUGCCUCCUUUUACUCAUCGCCUUUGUUCUCCAAUUGGAUAGGAGAUGGGCGGUCUCUCCCUGACAGUGACGACCAGUUAACUUUGCUGUUCUGCUAUUACGUUUCGCUCGCAGCCAAUCAUGUUCUCCAAUUGGAUAGGAGAUGGGCGGUCUCUCCCUGACAGUGACGACCAGUUAACUUUGCUGUUCUGCUAUUACGUUUCGCUCGCAGCCAAUCAUGUUCUCCAAUUGGAUAGGAGAUGGGCGGUCUCUCCCUGACAGUGACGACCAGUUAACUUUGCUGUUCUGCUAUUACGUUUCGCUCGCAGCCAAUAAUGUUCUGCUAUUGGAUAGGAGAUGGGCGGUCUCUCCCUGAUACUGACUUCCGCUUGCUGUGUUAUGCUAUUGAAUUUUCACGCCCAUCUACCAAACACGUUCCGCGCAGUAAAUAACCCGGAGCGCUCAGAUGUGCGCGCUAGCUUUUUGUAGGAGUCCAGUGUUGGAGUGAGGAAGACGAUAAUAUGUUGAAGCAGAUUCUUCAAAUAAAAGAAGGAAGACACUCAAUUUCUCCGCAUCUCACAACAAUGAGUGAGGAAAAGAGCACUGUUAGCAUUAAGAGGAGAAACAGUCUGGAUUCUGGACAGCCAAACUUCAGCGAUCAUAACACUCCCGCCAUCUCCCCAGUAACCCCCACCUUCCCCCCUCCUGCAC